rnacentral:rRNA from 1 species
UAGGGAAUCUUCGGCAAUGGACGGAAGUCUGACCGAGCAACGCCGCGUGAGUGAAGAAGGUUUUCGGAUCGUAAAGCUCUGUUGUUAGAGAAGAACGUUGGUAGGAGUGGAAAAUCUACCAAGUGACGGUAACUAACCAGAAAGGGACGGCUAACUACGUGCCAGCAGCCGCGGUAAUACGUAGGUCCCGAGCGUUGUCCGGAUUUAUUGGGCGUAAAGCGAGCGCAGGCGGUUCUUUAAGUCUGAAGUUAAAGGCAGUGGCUUAACCAUUGUACGCUUUGGAAACUGGAGGACUUGAGUGCAGAAGCGGAGAGUGGAAUUCCAUGUGUAGCGGUGAAAUGCGUAGAUAUAUGGAGGAACACCGGUGGCGAAAGCGGCUCUCUGGUCUGUAACUGACGCUGAUGCUCGAAAGCGUGGGGAGCAAACAGG